rnacentral:rRNA from 1 species
CCUACGGGAGGCAGCAGUGGGGAAUCUUGCGCAAUGGGCGAAAGCCUGACGCAGCAACGCCGCGUGCGGGAUGAAGGCCUUAGGGUUGUAAACCGCUUUCAGCAGGGAAGAAAAUGACUGUACCUGCAGAAGAAGGUGCGGCCAACUACGUGCCAGCAGCCGCGGUGACACGUAGGCACCAAGCGUUGUCCGGAUUUAUUGGGCGUAAAGAGCUCGUAGGCGGUUCAGUUAGUUGGGUGUGAAAACUCCGGGCUUAACCCGGAGCCGCCACCCAAUACUGCUGUGACUAGAGUUCGGUAGGGGAGCGGGGAAUUCCUAGUGUAGCGGUGAAAUGCGCAGAUAUUAGGAGGAACACCGGUGGCGAAGGCGCCGCUCUGGGCCGAAACUGACGCUGAGGAGCGAAAGCAUGGGUAGCAAACAGGAUUAGAUACCCUGGUAGUCCAUGCCGUAAACGUUGGGCACUAGGUGUGGGCUUCAUCCAACGAAGUCCGCGCCGUCGCUAACGCAUUAAGUGCCCCGCCUGGGGAGUACGGUCGCAAGACUAAAACUUAAAUGAAUUGACGG